rnacentral:lncRNA from 1 species
AGUGGGAGGAGAGAUGGGCAAGGUUCUUCCAUGACCGGGACUCCAAUAACUGAGCAGGUAUGACAUGUCUCUUUGAUGUCAUUGAAACCAGAAUUAAAUUAGUUGAUAGGGUUGAUGGUAGAUUAUGGUUGAGCUUGGUGAUUAAUGGAUGUGAUCGUGUUUGAUAGUAAAUGAUGUUAGAGAAUGGUUGUUUUGGUAAUAAAUAUGGUUUAAUGACUUAGAUAUGUGUCCACUCAAUGUAGUUGGUUGUGUUCAAUGUUAAUUGAUCUUUGCUUGUGAGAUGUUGAUUGAUCUUUGCUUGU